ACUAAUACACAUGAAGCAUUAUAAUAACUUAAAAAGACUCGAGGAUGUUUUACCCAAAAAAACUAUAUGGAGAUUAAAGAUCCAAAGGGAGGCAUGGUAACUGGUUUCUAAUGGUUAUAGCGAGGAGCUAAGCCGAAGGUGGUCGAAGUUACAAUGCCAGCCAGCAUUUCCCUCAUGCUUUGUCUACCCGCAAACCCGCUUCUUUCAAUUUCAAACACUAAGCUCAGAAGCAAGACAACCAAAUUUAUCACACUUAAGACCAAUACAUGGAAGAUUAGAGCCGUCAUUGAAUCUUCUUUCUCCUCCUCGGUUUUUGGGUCUUUCCAUCAAACAGUUGGUGGACAGGUUUUGCCAGAAAGAGGAUGUUCUGAAAAAGAUAUAGUAAAGAGCAAAAACAAGAAAAGGGUAUUUUUCUUGGAUGUCAAUCCGCUUCGUUAUGUAGGAAGUAAGCCAAGUUUUCAGUCUUUUCGCCACUGGGUUUCUCUUUUCUUCUCUCAAGUCAGCCUCACGGACCCCGUUAUUGCUGUUUUUGAUGGUGAAAAGUGUAAUGAGCGGCGGAGACAGUUAUUACCUUCAUAUAAAGCACAUAGGAGGAAAUUCUUUAGACAACCAACAACUUCUAGAAAAUUUGUCAGGAGUCAAGUUGGGAGGUCACAGCAACUCAUAAUGGAUGUUCUCAGAAAAUGCAAUGUGCCAGUCAUAAAAAUAGAAGGAAAUGAAGCUGACGAUGUUGUUGCCACACUGGUGGAACAAGUUUUACAAAGAGGAUACCGUGUGGUUAUCGCUUCUCCUGAUAAGGAUUUUAAGCAGUUGAUUUCUGAAAAUGUUCAAAUUGUUUUGCCCCUGGUGGAGUUAGACCGGUGGUCCUUUUAUACUCUGAAGCACUACGUAGCUCAAUAUAAUUGUGAUCCACACUCUGACUUGAGCCUUAGAUGCAUCAUGGGUGAUGAGGUUGAUGGUGUUCCUGGGAUUCAACAUUUGGUUCCUGGCUUUGGUCGGAAAACUGCCUUAAAGCUUUUAAAAAAGCAUGGCUCACUGGAAAACUUACUAAAUGCAGCUGCAGUGAGAACCGUUGGCAGACAGUAUGCGCAAGAGGCCCUUACAAAGCAUGCUGAUUACCUGCGGAGGAAUUAUGAAGUUUUAGCCUUGAGGAGGGACGUUGAUGUUCAUCUUCAAGAAGAAUGGUUGGUUGAAAGGGAUACAUGCAAUGAUUCAAGUGUUUUAUCUAAAUUCUUCAGAUCAUUGGAAGAUACUAAUAAGCCUACUCCUGAAAAUAGAUCUAGUUUCUCAAAUGGUUAAGUCCUUAGAGCUGAUCAGGAUUAACAAGCUAGAAAACCAAGAUUUUGGUGAGCAUAACUUGACAGAGCUCAAGGGCAGCUUUGUUUGAAUAUCAGAGAAGAAAACUACUAGUAGAAUUUAAGGACGAUAAGAGUUUAAGGGAUGCGGCCUCGUGCAUUGUGGAUAUUAUUACCAUAAACCAAGGAUAAAUUGUGCAGUGAGUGAAAUAAGAUUGAAGAAGUUUCGAUGUGUAGCUUGCAGCAGUUACUGCUAAGAAAAUUUGAAAUCGUGCAUUUGUUAAACUGGAAAUAAUUAAACUUCAUACUCUGUAUGCUAUGUUGGAUUUCUUGGAUCAUUGCAGUUAAGAGAUUCAAGAGAUUCAAAUCUGUUAUAUGUGUAAUACAAUCCUUGGUAUGUAGUUUAUUACAUGCCUUCUCAACGUUGGUUCCCAUCUUACCACUUAGUAUUAACCAGAAAAA